UACGAAGGGGCUAGCGUUGUUCGGAAUUACUGGGCGUAAAGGGCGCGUAGGCGGCGUGUCAAGUCAGGCGUGAAAGCCCCGGGCUCAACCUGGGAACCGCGCUUGAGACUGGCAUGCUCGAGUUCGGGAGAGGAUGGUGGAAAUUCCCAGUGUAGAGGUGAAAUUCGUAGAUAUUGGGAAGAACACCGAUGGCGAAGGCAGCCAUCUGGACCGACACUGACGCUGAGGCGCGAAAGCGUGGGGAGCAACAGGG
rnacentral:rRNA from 1 species